CGGAAUAUAGCGCAGUCCGGUAGCGCAUCUGCCUUGGGAGCAGAGGGCCGCAAGUUCGAAUCUUGCUAUUCCGA
rfam:Fusobacterium varium ATCC 27725 genomic scaffold supercont2.9, whole genome shotgun sequence.